rnacentral:lncRNA from 1 species
UGCUUGUCUUUGCCAAAUACUGUCACAGGAGAGCAACAGUUCAUGGUGAUCAUGACCCAAGAAUACUCCAUCGAACAAGGUCACGGUUCUCUGGAAUUGACAAGAAAGUUAUAGAAUCACUUCCUUUCUUUAGAUUCUCUUCCCUUAAAGGAUCAAAACAAGGGCUUGAAUGUGCUGUCUGCCUAUCAAAAUUUGAAGAUAUUGAAAUAUUAAGAUUGCUGCCUCAGUGCAAACAUGCCUUUCACAUUAAUUGUAUUGAUCAGUGGCUAGAAAAACAUUCGAGCUGCCCUCUUUGCAGGCAGAAGGUCAACGCUGAGGACCCAACAAUCUUUACAUACUCAAAUAGCAUGCGGUUCUUAUGGAAUCAAUCUGAGCUAAGAGAGGACUCCAACAUAGAGCUCUAUGUCCAGAGAGAGCAAGAGAAUCAUGGCUCAUCAAGAUUCAGAAUUGGAAGCAGUUUCCGGAAAACUGAAAAGGGCAAUAUCGAAAAUGAAGUUCUAAUUAAACAAGAAGAUGCUGACAACGAGGAUGAUGAUGAUGAUGAUGAUGGGAGGGUCCUCCAUAAGUUCAAUCACAAGAUCAUCGUAUCUGAUGUAGUUUUGAAGAACCGAUGGAGCAGUGUGAGUUCUUCAGACCUGUUGUUCUUGAACUCCGAGAUGCUUAACGAUAUGUCGAGCAACAGAUUUUCUUCCCUGGAAAUAAAUGAUGGGCAGGUUACGAAAACAAAAACAAUUGAAAACGAGCAAAUCAUGAAGAUUAAGGAGGAGUUGGAGAUAAAGAGAUUGUUUGAGAGCAAAGUUGGUUCAAUUAACAAAAACAAUCCAGUUUCAGCUCCUGUUCUUCCUUCAACAUCAAAUUCUGAAGCCACUUCGAGUCAUAAAUCAAGGAUUAUUAAUCAAGCUGAGAAAAGAUCAAUGUCAGAGAUCACUGCUUUAUCGAGGUUUCGAGAUGUCAGUACAAGAAAGAGAACAAGUGAGUCUUCAUUUUCUGAUACCUAUACAAAGGAGGAAAGAAUAAGGCGGCUUUGGUUGCCAAUUGCCAGAAGAACAGUCCAAUGGUUUGCCAAUAGAGAAAAAAGGUCUCAACAAUCUCAGGAUACAAUACAUCAUUUAGAUGUUUGAAGAUUUGUUGAUUGAUGGAGAAAUUUCAUGUAGGUAGUUGCAUUUUGUGCAUAAUUUCAAUAGGCAGAGCUAAACACUUCCGUUUAUUAUUUUCCCUG